GUGAAUCAUCAAAUUUUUGAACGCAAAUUGCACUCUCUGGUAUUACGAUGAGUAUGUCUGUUUGAGGGUCAGAAUAUAUAAAUAUCGGUGUGGUUGCGGCCUUUCGUGGUGACGCACCGGAUUUGUGUAGUCUUGUCUUCGUUUAAGACACCUAAAAUUCUGCAGGAUUUUUUCGAACGUAUUUAAAUGAUUUUACGUACGUUUUCGAUAU
rnacentral:misc_RNA from 1 species